GAUGAACGCUAGCGGCAGGCUUAAUACAUGCAAGUCGAGGGGCAGCACGGGUAGCAAUACCUGGUGGCGACCGGCAAACGGGUGCGGAACACGUACGCAACUUUCCCAAAACUGGUGAAUAGCCCUCCGAAAGGAGGAUUAAUACACCGUAACAUAAUGAAGUGGCAUCACUUUAUUAUUAUAGCUCCGGCGGUUUUGGAUGGGCGUGCGCCUGAUUAGGUAGUUGGCGGGGUAACGGCCCACCAAGCCUUCGAUCAGUAACUGGUGUGAGAGCACGACCAGUCACACGGGCACUGAGACACGGGCCCGACUCCUACGGGAGGCAGCAGUAAGGAAUAUUGGUCAAUGGAUGGAAGUCUGAACCAGCCAUGCCGCGUGCAGGAAGAAGGCCUUCUGGUUGUAACUGCUUUGCCAGGGGAUAAAUGACCUUGCGAGGUUAAUUGUAAGGUACCUGGUGAAUAAGCCACGGCUAACUACGUGCCAGCAGCCGCGGUAAU
rnacentral:rRNA from 1 species